rnacentral:rRNA from 1 species
AGCGAACGCUGGCGGCAGGCCUAACACAUGCAAGUCGAACGGAUCCUUCGGGAUUAGUGGCGGACGGGUGAGUAACACGUGGGAACGUGCCCUUUGGUUCGGAACAACUCAGGGAAACUUGAGCUAAUACCGUAUAAGUCCUUCGGGAGAAAGAUUUAUCGCCAUGAGAUCAACCCGCGUCUGAUUAGCUAGUUGGUGAGGUAACGGCUCACCAAGGCGACGAUCAGUAGCUGGUCUGAGAGGAUGAUCAGCCACACUGGGACUGAGACACGGCCCAGACUCCUACGGGAGGCAGCAGUGGGGAAUAUUGGACAAUGGGCGCAAGCCUGAUCCAGCCAUGCCGCGUGAGUGAUGAAGGCCUUAGGGUUGUAAAGCUCUUUCGUCAGGGAAGAUAAUGACGGUACCUGAAGAAGAAGCCCCGGCUAACUUCGUGCCAGCCGCCGCCGUAAUAC